rnacentral:rRNA from 1 species
GACGAACGCUGGCGGCGUGCUUAACACAUGCAAGUCGAACGGAAAGGCCCUGCUUUUGUGGGGUGCUCGAGUGGCGAACGGGUGAGUAACACGUGAGUAACCUGCCCUUGACUUUGGGAUAACUUCAGGAAACUGGGGCUAAUACCGGAUAGGAGCUCCUGCUGCAUGGUGGGGGUUGGAAAGUUUCGGCGGUUGGGGAUGGACUCGCGGCUUAUCAGCUUGUUGGUGGGGUAGUGGCUUACCAAGGCUUUGACGGGUAGCCGGCCUGAGAGGGUGACCGGCCACAUUGGGACUGAGAUACGGCCCAGACUCCUACGGGAGGCAGCAGUGGGGAAUAUUGCACAAUGGGCGGAAGCCUGAUGCAGCAACGCCGCAUGCGGGAUGACGGCCUUCGGGUUGUAAACCGCUUUCGCCCGUGACGAAGCGUGAGUGACGGUAAUGGGUAAAGAAGCACCGGCUAACUACGUG